GAACUUAAACCGAAUGCCCACCCCUGGUUAAACAUCAUUAAGUGCUCAUUUGGACUAUAAACUAACAUUUUGUUUAUAACCUAGUUUACUAUAUCAGUUAUGUUUGUAAGAAUGAAAAUUAGUUAAUGUAUAUAUAUACGAAGUUUUUUUUUUUUUUUUUUUGUCAUUAUAUAUAUACGAAGUUCAAUUGGUAAAACGAGAUCGUUUAAUCCGACUAUACGAAUGGAUGAUGGGAGUUUUGAUUACGAUGGUU
rnacentral:lncRNA from 1 species